AAACUCACCAGGUCCAGACAUGACUAGGAUUGACAGAUUGAUAGCUCUUUCAUGAUUUUAUGGGUGGUGGUGCAUGGCCGUUCUUAGUUGGUGGAGUGAUUUGUCUGGUUAAUUCCGAUAACGAACGAGACCUUAACCUGCUUAAUAGUCAGGCCGGCUUUUGCUGGUCGCCGACUUCUUAGAGGGACUGUCUGCGUCUAGCAGACGGAAGUUUGAGGCAAUAACAGGUCUGUGAUGCCCUUAGAUGUUCUGGGCCGCACGCGCGCUACACAAACCCACAACCUCUGUACUAUAUGCUCAAAUGGACAAGUCCUUAUCUACUGUACAAUUAGAUUAGAU
rnacentral:ncRNA from 1 species